rnacentral:rRNA from 1 species
AACAAAUUAAUAAGUGCAAAUGGCGGAUGCCUAGGCACCAGAAGCCGAUGAAGGUCGUAGGAGGCUGCGAAAAGCCUCGGGGAGCCGCCAACCAGGCUUCGAUCCGAGGAUUACCGAAUGGGGAAACCCGGCUGGAGUAAUGUCCAGUCAUUUCUCUCUGAAUAAAUAGGAGAGUCAAAGGUAACGAGGGGAAGUGAAACAUCUCAGUACCCUCAGGAAGAGAAAACAACCGUGAUUCCGUUAGUAGUGGCGAGCGAAAGCGGAAGAGGCUAAACCAAUCAUGUGCCAAGCCGGCAGGCGUUGCAUGAUCGGUGUCGUGGGACUAAAUCGAAUCAACUGCCGUUAAUUCAACAAGUCAGAAAAUAAUGAAAUAGAUGAAGGACGUGGGAAAGUCCGGCAUAGAAGGUGAGACCCCUGUAGUCGAAAUUUCAUUAUCUUGUUUUUAGUAUCCCAAGUAAUACCGGACUCGUGUAAUCCGGUAUGAAUCUGGCGGGACCACCCGCUAAGCCUAAAUACUCUCUGGUGACCGAUAGUGAACAAGUACCGUGAGGGAAAGGUGAAAAGAACCCCGCAAGGGGAGUGAAAUAGAAUCUGAAACCGUUUGCAUACAAACCGUUGGAGCUGCCUUGUGCAGUGACAGCGUGCCUUUUGAAGAAUGAGUCUACGAGUUAGUGUGAUGUAGCAAGGUUAACCCGUCGAGGGGAAGCCGUAGCGAAAGCGAGUCUGAAUAGGGCGAAUAAGUCGCAUCAUCUAAACCCGAAGCGAGGUGAUCUCGCCAUGACCAGGUUGAAGCGCGGGUAAGACCGCGUGGAGGACCGAACCCACUAAAGUUGAAAAUUUAGGGGAUGAGUUGUGGCUAGGGGUGAAAGACCAAUCAAACUUCGUGAUAGCUGGUUCUCUCCGAAAUGCAUUUAGGUGCAGCGUCACGUGUUUCUUACUGGAGGUAGAGCUACUGGAUGGCCGAGGGGUCCUACAAGAUUACCAACGUCAGCCAAACUCCGAAUGCCAGUAAGUGAGAACGUGGCAGUGAGACAGUGGGGGAUAAGCUUCAUUGUCGAGAGGGAAACAACCCAGAACAGCAACUAAGGUCCCAAAGCCUGUGCUAAGUGGAAAAGGAUGUGAAGUCGCAUAGACAACCAGGAGGUUGGCUUAGAAGCAGCCACCCUUAAAAGAGUGCGUAAUAGCUCACUGGUCAAGUGAUUUCGCGCCGACAAUGUAACGGGGCUCAAGCACAGCACCGAAGUUCUGUCAUUCACACACUAUCCCGGUCGCAAGAUCCAGGAGUGUGGAUGGGUAGGAGAGCGUUGUGUAACUAGUGAAGCGGCGGAGGAAUCCAGCCGUGGAAGUUACACAAGUGAGAAUGUAGACAUGAGUAGCGAAAGACGGGUGAGAAACCCGUCCACCGAAUGACCAAGGGUUCCUGAGCCAGGCUAAUCCGCUCAGGGUAAGUCGGGUCCUAAGGCGAGGCCGACAGGCGUAGUCGAUGGACAACUGGUUGAUAUUCCAGUACCCACAAUAAACCGACCGUGACGAAUCAAUAAUGCUAAGUGUUUGAAGUUGGCUAGCAAUAGCUGAUGGAGCGCACGACCCAAGUUGGUAGUAGUCAAGCAAUGGAGAGACGCAGGAAGGUAGUCCAACCCAGGCGAUGGUUGACCUGGGGUAAGAGUGUAGGAGGUUCUGUAGGAAAAUCCGCAGAACAAUCUCUAAGACUUGAUGCCGAGCCGUAAGGCGAAGUGGAUGAUCCUAUGCUGCCAAGAAAAUCUUCUAGCGAGGUUUAAACGGCGGUGGUAACUAUAACCAUCCUAAGGUAGCGAAAUUCCUUGUCGGGUAAGUUCCGACCUGCACGAAUGGCGUAACGACUUGAGCGCUGUCUCCACCAUGAACUCGGCGAAAUUGCAGUACGAGUAAAGAUGCUCGUUACGCGCGGAAAGACGGAAAGACCCCGGGACCUUUACUAUAUCUUGAUAUUGGUACUCGGAACGUUCUGUGUAGCAUAGGUGGGAGACUUUGAAGCGGCACGCCAGUGUUCGUGGAGUCAAAAAUUGAAAUACCACUCUGAACGUUUUGAGUUUCUAACCUCGGCCCAUUAUCUGGGUCAGGGACAGUGUCUGGUGGGUAGUUUAACUGGGGCGGUUGCCUCCCAAAAAGUAACGGAGGCGCUCAAAGGUUCCCUCAGCCUGGUUGGUAAUCAGGUGUCGAGUGUAAGUGCACAAGGGAGCUUAACUGUGAGACAGACAUGUCAAGCAGGUGCGAAAGCAGGAACUAGUGAUCCGGCGGUGGCUUGUGGAAGCGCCGUCGCUCAACGGAUAAA